rnacentral:rRNA from 1 species
UACGAGGGGGGGCGAGCGUUGUUCGGAAUUAUUGGGCGUAAAGGGUGCGUAGGCGGCCUGACAAGUCUGAUGUGAAAUCCCUGGGCUCAACCCAGGGCCUGCAUCGGAAACUGUCGGGCUUGAGUAUGGGAGAGGUGAGUGGAAUUUCCGGUGUAGCGGUGAAAUGCGCAGAUAUCAGGAGGAACACCGAUGGCGAAGGCAGCUCGCUGGGACGGUACUGACGCUGAGGCGCGAAAGCGUGGGGAGCAAACAGG